rnacentral:rRNA from 1 species
AUUGAACGCUGGCGGCAUGCCUUACACAUGCAAGUCGAACGGCAGCACGGGAGCUUGCUCCUGGUGGCGAGUGGCGAACGGGUGAGUAAUACAUCGGAACGUACCCUGAAGUGGGGGAUAACGUAGCGAAAGUUACGCUAAUACCGCAUAUUCUGUGAGCAGGAAAGAGGGGGAUCGCAAGACCUCUUGCUUUAGGAGCGGCCGAUGUCGGAUUAGCUAGUUGGUGAGGUAAAGGCUCACCAAGGCGACGAUCCGUAGCGGGUCUGAGAGGAUGAUCCGCACACUGGGACUGAGACACGGCCCAGACUCCUACGGGAGGCAGCAGUGGGGAAUUUUGGACAAUGGGCGCAAGCCUGAUCCAGCCAUGCCGCGUGAGUGAAGAAGGCCUUCGGGUUGU